rnacentral:rRNA from 1 species
GCAUUUGGCAUUGGGGGGAACCCUGAUCAGCCUGCCGCGUGUGUGAAGAAGGCCUUUUGGUUGUAAAGCACUUUAAGCGAGGAGGAGGCUACUCUAGUUAAUACCUAGGGAUAGUGGACGUUACUCGCAGAAUAAGCACCGGCUAACUCUGUGCCAGCAGCCGCGGUAAUACAGAGGGUGCGAGCGUUAAUCGGAUUUACUGGGCGUAAAGCGUGCGUAGGUGGCCAAUUAAGUCAAAUGUGAAAUCCCCGAGCUUAACUUGGGAAUUGCAUUCGAUACUGGUUGGCUAGAGUAUGGGAGAGGAUGGUAGAAUUCCAGGUGUAGCGGUGAAAUGCGUAGAGAUCUGGAGGAAUACCGAUGGCGAAGGCAGCCAUCUGGCCUAAUACUGACACUGAGGUACGAAAGCAUG